AAUCGCUUCACCUGCACUCCUCCACACCUGAAGCUCAUCUCCUAAUCACUGCCGGCAGAUGUGAUUACAGUGCAUGAGAUCUGGCACUUGGGCACUUCCCUGCCUUCAAUCCAUUAUCCAAUCCAUUCUGACUCCGAUGAAGACAAAGUAGUGUUGAAACGUUUCUCUGUUUGUGCUACUAAAGGCUGCAAAUCAAUCAGUGUGCUCCAGUCCCCUUUCCCCCAUCUUGGCAACCCUUCCCUCACCACCACUUCUCUCCCUUCACUUCUCGCCACAGGCAGGAUCUGCUCAUGGAGAGCUGCGAGAUGCUCUGCAACAAAUGGCGAGUGAUCAGUACAGCUGCAUGCACGUGUGCCUGGAUAUAUAUUAAUUAUGUGAGUAUAGGCACGUGCUCGGUGUACUCGAGUCGCGCUAUGUGACCACCUGCAGAGGCGUUCUGCUUCCUGACAGAGCAGGACAGAAUCAACAGAAAGAGACCUGAAUA